UGAGGGGCUGUGCAGGGGCAGCAGGACUGCAGGCAAGGGAAUGCAUCCCAUCGCUGUGGGGCUGCACCACAGCACCCAGCAGGAGGAUGCUGCACGCAGGCAUGAGCUCACCCCAAUUCUUCCCCUGUCUGACCUCAGCUCCCAGCUCCAGCCAGCAGCAAGUCCCUACAGGAGAGCAUCCACACACAGUGUCCGGGGGGAGAACAUCGAGGGAAAUAAGGCAGUGAGCAGAGCAGGAGAGCCUGCAGCCGGCAGCGGAUGAGCUCGGGCGACAGCACCCAAUUAUUGCAGCUCAGCGGGGGAAAAGGGAAAGAAAGGAAGGAAAGAAAGAGCAAUUAUCGGGACCUCGUCUGUGGCGCGGCACAGGGCUGCAAUUUCAAACCAGGCUGAGUUUGCCCGGCCCUUCUCUCACUCCCAGCACUGAGCACAUGACAGCUCACAUUUAUUUUUCAAUGGGCAGCCACCCAUCUCUGCCCUUCAGCUCCAGGCCUGGCUCCUUGUGCCCAUCCAGCGCCGCAUCCACAUCCAGCACCACGCAGAGCAGUUUCCUGCAGGAUAACCACAGACUUCCAAGGGCUGCAGGUCAGGCUUCAGCUCUGGUGAAGUAGCAGAAAUCAGGGCAGCGUGAAGAGCAGCAGCACAGCGGGACCGCGAGCGAGGUGAGAGGAUAUGGGGG
ensembl:lncRNA